rnacentral:rRNA from 1 species
UGAGUAACCUGCCCUGGACUUUGGGAUAACCCUCGGAAAACGGGGGCUAAUACCGGAUAUGACACGCGAAUGCAUGUUCUGUGUGUGGAAAGAUUUUUUGGUCUGGGAUGGGCUCGCGGCCUAUCAGCUUGUUGGUGGGGUGAUAGCCUACCAAGGCGACGACGGGUAGCCGGCCUGAGAGGGCGACCGGCCACACUGGGACUGAGACACGGCCCAGACCUCCGUACGGGAGCA